rnacentral:ncRNA from 1 species
AGAAUAAGUGUUGUACCUAGCAACCUAACACAUAAAUUUGCUUUCCGAGUGGCCCCAAGAAUUGGGGCUUUUUUUAUGCU